AAACUAGCCUACUGAGGGUAAUAGACCAUGGGGAAAAAAGCUGAGUCACUUCAAUUGGAAGUCAGCCAACCCCAGAAACAGAGCUGCUUAGCUGAUGUUCAAUUGAUUACAGGCACAUGGGGAGGCCCAGCCAGUCAAACCCAGAACAGCCCGGCUGAGCUCAGCCUAAUUCUGUGACUUUCAGGAUGAGUAACAAAAUAAAUGAUUCUUAUUUUAAGUCAAAAUUUUGGAGAGCAAUCUUCCUCUUGUCAAUGUCUAUCUCAGUGCUAUUUCAGACUCCUUUCGUACUGUCAAAUCUCACUCAACUUUUAGCAUCUAUUUCAAUUGGCAUCUCUUCCAAGAAGAUUUUUCUAAUUUCCUCAAGUGAUGUGUUAUCUCCCCUAUAAUUGAACCCCAUUUUGAUAUUUGUGUCCCUUUUUAGCUUUUUUUUUAACUUGUUUUCUAUUAGAGGUGUUAGUGUCCUACUCAUCUUGCUUUUCCUACAGCUAGUAAGUGGACAUCCAGGAGGUACAAGGAUAUAUCCCAGACCUGGCCAGUCAUGCUACCAUUUCCCAUAAUAAUCUCCUUAAGAAAUGAAGAGCUAUAAGAAUGGAAUCGAGACUAGGAGAGGAACAUCCAAAGGAGAGAAAAUGACUGCAGUGGGAGAGAACAAGAGCUACGAUCAAAAAGAGGAGAGACAAGCAGCACUGAGGAAGACAGAAGGGUAAGAAGAGAUGAUGUCAGAAGUGGGAUCCAAAGAAAAGCUUCCAGUGACCCCCAGGAGCACUGAGUGACCAAGCAAGGUACCUGCUGGGCCCAUUCCCUCAAUAGAAUGACACCACUGUGUGGUCAAGAAUGGAGAAACCCAAG
rnacentral:lncRNA from 1 species